UUUAUGGAGAGUUUGAUCCUGGCUCAGGAUGAACGCUGGCGGCGUGCCUAAUACAUGCAAGUCGAGCGAACAGAUAAGGAGCUUGCUCCUUUGAAGUUAGCGGCGGACGGGUGAGUAACACGUGGGUAACCUACCUAUAAGACUGGGAUAACUUCGGGAAACCGGAGCUAAUACCGGAUAACAUUUAGAACCGCAUGGUUCUAAAGUGAAAGAUGGUUUUGCUAUCACUUAUAGAUGGACCCGCGCCGUAUUAGCUAGUUGGUAAGGUAACGGCUUACCAAGGCGACGAUACGUAGCCGACCUGAGAGGGUGAUCGGCCACACUGGAACUGAGACACGGUCCAGACUCCUACGGGAGGCAGCAGUAGGGAAUCUUCCGCAAUGGGCGAAAGCCUGACGGAGCAACGCCGCGUGAGUGAUGAAGGGUUUCGGCUCGUAAAACUCUGUUAUUAGGGAAGAACAAAUGUGUAAGUAACUGUGCACAUCUUGACGGUACCUAAUCAGAAAGCCACGGCUAACUACGUGCCAGCAGCCGCGGUAAUACGUAGGUGGCAAGCGUUAUCCGGAAUUAUUGGGCGUAAAGCGCGCGUAGGCGGUUUCUUAAGUCUGAUGUGAAAGCCCACGGCUCAACCGUGGAGGGUCAUUGGAAACUGGGAAACUUGAGUGCAGAAGAGGAAAGUGGAAUUCCAUGUGUAGCGGUGAAAUGCGCAGAGAUAUGGAGGAACACCAGUGGCGAAGGCGACUUUCUGGUCUGUAACUGACGCUGAUGUGCGAAAGCGUGGGGAUCAAACAGGAUUAGAUACCCUGGUAGUCCACGCCGUAAACGAUGAGUGCUAAGUGUUAGGGGGUUUCCGCCCCUUAGUGCAGCAGCUAACGCAUUAAGCACUCCGCCUGGGGAGUACGACCGCAAGGUUGAAACUCAAAG
rnacentral:rRNA from 1 species